CAGCAUGCAUCAUGAGUGGGAGUGAUGUCUGACUGGUGCCGUAAGCGAAGUCGUCUGUUCAUUGUUAAAACCGCAAAUUAAGAGGAAUUUUCGCCCGGAUUUGUUCUCAAACUAACUUUGGCUGAUUUUCUGCAUCGUACUCAGUCAAGAAAUGUGACAAAAGGUUCAUUUUUGCGGCGAACGAGUGACAGUAGUGGCGGCUCUCUGGUGACGUAUUCUCCAUUGUACCUCUUGUGUGCCUCGACCUUAUAGACUCAAGUAAAACAUGAAAGAAUUUAACAACCUAAUGGCUAAGAGAAAAGCAGAGUGUGUAAAAUUGAACAGAUUUUAAUAAUUCGAGAGGAAAAAAUAAGUAACAGCUUUCAUCAUGUCUGGUAAUCAGCUUAUGGAUUCUUGUCUCCUGGUGAAUCGUCGAGUGGAGCAAAGACAAGAGCACAGCAUCACACAUACUGAAAUCACGCAAAGGCGAGUAUUGCAAGAGAAGGUUCCCGAAAUGCAGCAUUAUAAGGGUUCGGACGCCUCAAGUUCUGUAAACGAAGGAGCCUAUCAUACGCAUAGCAAUGGACAUUCAGAACAUUCACCAAAUUCCAGCCAUAUGUCUGUUCAUAGUGAUGAGCCUUUAGUGCGCACACAUAAGCAACAAACCACUCAGCAAGUGACAACUGUGACCAAAGUCGUACGCGAAGUGCAACAGCUCGGAGAAGCUCAACCGGGAGAGUACAUUCCAGUGCCGUUAGGCUCGUACCCCCAUCCCGGGCACGCGAGGAAUCAGUACGUUGAUUAUAUGGAACAGCCAGCUCACCAUAUGUAUUCGCAAUAUCACCAACACCCUCACUAUCAAGACUACGAGCACUACCCGAAUCCGUAUGGGGCAUAUAUGGGGUACCCGCCAGGGGCAGAGCGGCCGCCUACGCCUCCUAGUCCGAGCGAGCAUAGCGGAGCUCCCUCGCCUAUUCCGAUAAACGCACAGCCAGGAGUUCAAUAUUUGAGCUCCGGCUAUGACGAAUUGCCUGAACAUUUUAGGGUGACUCCGUCGCCUGGGGGUCCAAUAGGCUUAGAUCCGUACCAGGAUGAUCCUGGAGUCGUCUAUGGGUACGUCUCACCUUCACCUUACGGCACCGCCCCUGUACAUCAAGGACCAACUUACGACUCACGUCCAUAUGAAGAUAGUCUAAACGGUCCAGUUACGGUGGGAGCCCCCAUGCGAAUGUUCGAAGAUGAAGAAUUACAAAAACAUAUGAGUAAAAUGUCUUUACAUGGACAUAGUAUGGCUCUACCACACAACCGGGCUCAUAAUAUGGCGUCUCCUGGUAGUGUAGGUGGGGAUGAUGACCAGAGAGGCAUGCGUUGGCGUGAUCCAAAUCUGACUGAAGUCAUUGGUUUUCUUAAUAAUCCUAAUAAUGUUAUCAAAGCUAAUGCAGCGGCCUAUCUUCAACAUCUCUGUUAUAUGGAUGACCCCAAUAAACAAAAGACUAGAGCUCUUGGCGGCAUACCUCCUCUUGUUAAACUAUUAAGUCAUGAAAGCGUAGAAGUUUAUAGAAAUGCAUGCGGCGCAUUGAGAAAUCUUUCGUACGGAAGACAAAACGAUGAGAAUAAAAGAGCUAUUAAAAACUCUGGCGGAAUACCCGCCUUAAUUAACCUUCUACGAAGAUCCAACGAAGCCGAAAUCAAAGAGCUUGUCACGGGAGUUAUAUGGAAUAUGAGCUCAUGCGAAGACCUCAAACGUAAUAUUAUCGACGAUGGAAUUAGUACUGUCGUUACAUAUAUAAUAAUACCACAUUCGGGAUGGGAUCCUCAAGGAAACCAUGGGGAAACUUGUUGGUCGACAGUAUUCAGAAAUGCUUCAGGUGUGCUUAGGAAUGUUAGUUCAGCUGGUGAAUACGCGAGAAAAAGAUUAAGGGAAUGUGAAGGACUGGUUGAUGCGUUGUUGUUUGUUGUACGCUGUGCCAUAGACAAAUCUAACAUAGGCAAUAAGAUCGUCGAGAAUUGCGUCUGUAUUUUGCGUAACCUAUCUUAUCGUUGCCAAGAAGUCGAAGACCCCAAUUACGAUAAGAAUCCUUUACCAACCCAAAGUAGGAUCGCCGCGAAUUCGAAGGGUGAGAAUCUUGGUUGUUUUGGAGGGAGUAAAAAGAAGAAAGACCCGCAAUUAGCUGAAGUAAAAGAGAGUACGUCUGGUGUGUCCACUGCAGGUAGUGGUGGUGGUAACAGUGCUGCAACACGAGGUGAACCGGUUCGCGGAAUGGAACUUCUUUGGCAGCCGGAAGUUGUGCAAUCAUAUUUAGCUCUUUUGCAGAGUUGCUCAAAUCCUGAAACGUUAGAAGCAGCUGCUGGUGCUCUUCAAAAUUUAGCAGCGUGUUAUUGGCAGCCGAGUAUAGAAAUCCGUGCAGCUGUACGUAAAGAAAAAGGACUACCAAUUCUUGUGGAAUUGUUACGAAUGGAGGUUGAUCGAGUAGUAUGCGCUGUAGCGACGGCUCUCAGAAAUUUAGCGAUAGAUCAACGUAAUAAAGAGUUAAUAGGAAAAUAUGCUAUGCGUGAUCUGGUUCAGAAACUGCCAUCGGGAAAUCCGCAACAUGAUCAAGGGACGUCUGAUGACACAAUAGCGGCGGUUCUUGCGACUUUAAACGAAGUUAUAAAGAAGAAUGCCGAGUUUUCGAGAUCUCUAUUAGAAGCAGGUGGAGUUGAAAGACUGAUGACUAUAACAAGGCAGCGACAGAAAUAUACUCCCAGGGUGUUAAAGUUUGCUGGUCAAGUAUUGUUCACGAUGUGGCAGCAUCAGGAUUUGCGAGAUGUUUAUAAAAAACAUGGAUGGAAGGAACAAGAUUUUGUGACGAAGACUGUGGCAGCUAGAAAUUCUGGUCCUAAUUCACCUAAUAAUGCAAAUAGUACAUUGAAUAGACCUAUGGCGUCUCAGAGUGGAACAAGGUACGAGGAUAGAACGAUGAAGCGGUCGGCUCCAGGCGCUAGAGGCGUGGCUCCGGUAUAUCAAAGGAAUGAAGAUAUCCCGAUGGCUGAUAUGGCAUACCCCGAAACGCAACCCUCGAUGGGGCGAGCGUAUCCUCCUGGCCCUGGUCCAAACCCACCUCCCGUAAGUCACUAAUAAGCCACUUGCACAUACCCUACACGUCCGUGUCAAUUGAUCGCGUUUAAAAAAUAAAGUAAAACAUAAAAUAAUAAUAAUAAAAACAUAUUGGUGAAGGUGGAUCUGGACUGAGCACAGACUCUUGCUCAAGCUAGCAAUAUGGCAACUCUCAUUCCAUGUACAUCUAUCUCAUAGUAUACUAACGAACACGACGGUCUCAGCGUCGAUUACGGCAUUCACUUAGACUGUUAAAUAAUCUCGAUGUUCAUGUACAGUACAAGUACAGUCGUAGGUGAUUUGUAGCAGCAUCUUUUGUUCCGUAUUAUUAUGUAUGGAGCCCUUGACUGUAAGAGUUUUUACUACAUUUUUACUGAUUUCGUCUGGAGCGUAGUCUUCCUUGUACUCUCACUAUGUACUAGCUGUGUCUGUAUCUAUACCUGUAGCAUAUGAUUUGUAAACAUUGAGACGAUACGAGCUGUGUUGUGGUGGGGUGGGCAGCGAGCGAAGGCCCUGGCAGCAGCGUCGUCGCCGACGCCGACCGGUGCCCAGCCGGAACCUCUCUACGCGCAGGUCAACAUGGAGAAGAAACGGAAUCGGCAACCCAGCCUAGGCAACGCUAACCACUUGGACGAGCAGCAGCUCACCAGUGUGCCGGCCGGCAAGGACUCCUGGGUCUAACGACACUC